rnacentral:lncRNA from 1 species
UGUAGUAGGAGGAGAGAACGAUGGGAUUGGGGAACCAAGCAGAAACGGAGCUUCACAGAAAGUAAAUUAUAAACUCGAAAUUAAAGAAAACAGCUAUAACUAUAGUGAAGACUCGGUGCGCUACAACUCAGGAUGGCCUCUUAGCGCACUGCAAAUAAAGAAAGAAACAUUGUUAAGAAACAUGAUACUGUAAUGGAGAGAGAGGGUAAUGUAAUGAAGGGAAGAAGAAGCUUUACGUUGGAGUAGACAGAGAUUUGAAUUUCUUGAUUCCACCGUUGGGGCGAACGUCUUCAAUGCUGUAACCGAGGGGAGCUUCGUAAAAUAAGGAACUACUACUACUGCUGGACUUCUUUUUACCAUAUUUUGACUCCAUCACAAUCUCAUUCACGCUUUCUGCAAUUUCAAGACCAAACCAUAUGUAUUAGAUGCAGGAAAGAAAAACAACGCUUAAUAGAGACGUAUCAAUGUUCAAAGUUUUCACAUUUCAAUAACAGAUCU